CCUACACUCAACAAUACCGGAUCAUUUCAUCCGCAAAGGAAAAAAAUCCAUCACGCGGCGCGAAGCGGACAAAUGACGGUUCACAGAAAGUUAAUAACCUUCUGGAGAGAAUUGUAGAGUGGAUUGAUCCAGAAGAAGAUGUCGAUCAGUAUGCUCAGAGGUAUAAAGCCACG